GCUCUAGUGGCAAAAAGGGUUAAGCGUUCAGCUGCUAACUGAAAGGUUGGUGGUUUGAAUCCACCCAGCA
rnacentral:tRNA from 1 species